CUGGCCUGUUGCCUGUUUGUUUGCGGUCAAGACCGACUCUGGAUGCUGGAUAAAUAGUGUUUAGUGCAGGUUUAUCAAGGCUAUAUUGUAUUAAGUCGUGUAUUACUGUCAUGAGCAUGUUAUGACCCGGAGACCCGAUUUUCUGGAGCUAAUUGUUGCUGCGUAGGUCAUGGCCGCCGGCGCCCCUCAGCUGUGUCGUCGAAAAUUGCAGGAUGGAGACCAAAAGUGUUACAGGGAAAGGUGUGGAUGUGCUGCUGCCUGUCCUGUGUAUCAUGGACAAGAGUGUGCCAAACGACAGGCAGCAGUGUGUUUUGAAGGCUUCCAAGGAAGCAAACGUAGCCAAGGCCCUACGCAUGGAUGCCACUGCCAGCAACCCCAAGAAAGCUUGUUAAGAAGCUGAAAAGAGGUGCCGUCCUUGUUGGAGCCACCGCACCAAUCAAAACUCAAAUCCUUGGCCAGCUGAUGCUCAGCUUUGGAAAGUAUUGCGGCAGGACAUUCAAGUGACUGGUGGAAAAUGAUGGUGGAUACAU